GGUGAACGCUGGCGGCAUGUCUAAGGCAUGCAAGUCUAGGGGUAAUUUAUUACCCCGGCAAACGGGAGAGUAACACGUUGGUAACUUACCUCGAGUUCGAGUAUAACCCGGAGAAAUCCGGGACAAUCCUCGAUAGACAUGAGGGGACACAAGUCAUUCUCAUGUAAAGCUCCGGCGACUCGAGAGAGGCCUACGGCUCAUCAGCUUGUUGGUAGGGUAACGGCCUACCAAGGCGACGACGAGUAGCGGGUGUGAGAGCAUGGCCCGUCUCACUGGGACUGAGAACUGCCCAGACACCUACGGGUGGCUGCAGUCAAGAAUCUUCCUCAAUGGCCGAAAGGCUGAAGGAGCAAUGCCGCGUGAUCGAAGAAGCCCCUCGGGGUGUAAAGAUCUUUUCUGAGGGAAGAAUCCGUGACGGUACCUCAGGAAUAAGUCACUGCUAACUUCG
rnacentral:rRNA from 1 species